GACCACCGGUGCAUGCAGCCCCUGUCAUGUACCGCCUGCUUGCUCAAAUCAAUCACGACCCUUUCAUGUGAAAUCUUUAGUGUUGUGAGCCCUUAAAAGGAACAGAAAUUGUGUAUUCAGGGAGCUCAGAUUUGAAGGCAGUAGCUUGCCGAUGCUCCCAGCUGAAUAAAGCCCUGCCUUCUACAACUCAGUGUCUGAGAGGUUUUGUCUGCGGCUCACCCUGCUACAUUUCUUGGUUCCCUGACUGGGAAACGAGGUGACUGACGGACGGCCGAGGCAGCCCCUUAGGCGGCUUAGGCCUGCCCUGUGGAGCAUCCGUGAGGGGAACUCCGGCCAGCCUGAGUGACGUGAUCCAAAGAGCGCUCCCGGGUAGGCAAUUGCCCCAGUGGAACACCUCACCAGAGCAGCGUGUAGCAGGACCCCGCAGAAGAUUAACACAGUGGCUGAACACCAGGAAGGAACUGGCACUUGGAGUCCGGACAUCUAAAACUUGGCCCAACCACCGAGACCACCCUUAAACAUCAGUAGACUUGGAGCUGUACGUGGAUGGGAGCAGCUUCACCAACCCCUGCAAAGUGACUCUGAAGAAGACGACAAGCCCUGCUCCAGUCACACCCGGAAGCUGACUGGUUCAUGCAUGGCCGAAGCAUGAGGAAAUUCAUCGCGGGAAUAAUUUUCCUUAAAAUUUGGACUUGUACAGUAAGGACUUCAACUGACCUUCCUCAGACUGAGAACUAUUUUCAGUAUACAUCAAGUCACUGAGGUAGGACAAAAGAUUGCUACAGUCCUAUUAUUUUAUGGUUAUUAUAAGUGUGCCAGGACUCUAAAAGAAAGUUGUUUGUAUAAUGCUAUUGUAUCCAAGGUAUGCAGCCCAGGAAAUAACCGACCUGAUGCAUGUUAUGACCCACUUUAAGCCUCCCGUGAUCACAGUUUUUAAAAUAAAAUUAAGGACUGGUCCUUUUCUAGGUGACACAAGUAAAGUAAUAGCUAGAGCAGAAGAAAGAGGGGUCCCCAAAAAUGUAACUUUAAAAUUUGACGCCUGUGCUACUAUUAAUAGUAAACAGCAUGGGAUAGGAUAUGGUUCUCUAGAUUGGGAAAAAAGUUACACAGCAGAAAAUAAGUACAUCUGUCAAAAAUCAUAUUUAUGUGAGAUGUGUCAAUACUGGUCUUGUGUCAUUUAGGCUACUUAAAAAGAAGAUAAAAAAGAACCUGUUUGGCUCCAAAAAGGAAAAGUCAGCCCCUCCUGCAUGAGUGGGAGCUGCAACCUUUUAAAAUUGAUAAUCACAAACCCCUCAGACCCAAAGUGGAAUAAAGAAAAAUAUGUAACAUUAGGCAUUGACGGAAAAGGACUAGAUCCUAGUGUAAGCAUCCUAAUAAAAGAAGAGGUUCAAAAACGCUCUCCAGAACAAAUAUUUCAGACUUUCUAUGAUGAACUAAGUGUGCCAGUACCUGAGAUUCCCGGAAAAACUAAAAAUUGGUUUUUGUAAUUAGCCGAACAUGUAGCCCAGUCUCUGCAAGUCACCUCAUGUUAUGUUUGUGGAGAAACUGUAAUAAGAGAUCAAUGGCCAUAAGAAGCCCAAGAAUUAGUGCCUACAGACCCAGUUCCUGAUGAAUUUCCAGCCCAAAAAAAUCACCCUGAUCAUCUCUAGGUUCUAAAAGUCUCAAUUAUUGGACAGUAUUGCAUAGCUACAGAAGGAAAAGGAUUAACUCAUCCCAUAAGGCAGCUUAGUUGUCUUAGGCAAAAGCUGUAUAAUGGUACCACAAAAACAGUUAAUGGUGGAGUUCCAAUUACACAGAAAGAAAUCCAUUCAGUAAAUUUCCAAAGUUGCAGACUGUUUGGGCCCACCCAGAAUUCCACUGGGACUGGACGGCCCCCACCAGGUUAUACUGGAUAUGUGGACACAGAGCUUAUGCUAAGCUGCCUGAUCAGUGGACAGGUAGCUGUGUAAUUGGACAGGUAGCUGUGUAAUUGGCACCAUUAAGCCAUCUUUCUUCUUACUGCCAAUAAAAACAGGUGAACUUCUAGGCUUCCUAGUGUAUGCUUCCCAUGAAAAAUGAAGCAUAGCCAUAGGUGAUUAGAAAAUAAUGAAUUGCCCCCUGAAAGAAUCAUACAAUACUAUAGACCCGCCACUUAGGCACAAGAUGGCUCAUGAGGAUAUCGAACCCCCAGCUACAUGCUCAACCAAAUCAUAUGGUUACAAGUGGUUUUAGAAAUUAUUACUAAUAAAACCGGUCAAGCCUUGACUGUUCUUGCCUGGCAAGAGACUCUGAUGAGAAAUGCUAUCAAAAUAGACUAGCUCUUGACUACUUGCUAGAAGCUGAAGGAGAAGUUUGUAAAAAAUUUAACCUUACUAAUUGUUGUCUACACAUAAAUGAUCAAGGGCAAGUAGUUAAAAAUAUAGUUAAAGAUAUAACAAAACUGGCACAUGUACCCAUGCAAGUGUGGCACGGGCUCAAUCCGGGAGCCAUGUUUGCAAAUUGGUUCCCAGCAAUGAAAGAAUUUAAAACUCUUAUAAUAAGAGUAAUAAUAGUAAUAGAAACCUGCUUACUGCUCCUUUGUCUGAUACCUGUAUUUCUCCAAAUGAUAAAAAACUUCGUCACGACCUUAGUUCACCAAAAUGCUUUAGCAGAAGCAUACUAUAUAAAUCACUAUCAAUCUAUUGCACAAAAAGACAUAAGUAGCAAAAAUAAGACUCAGAACUCCCACUAAUAAAAACUGAGAGUCUCAAAGGGGGGAAAUGAGGGAAGAGAGAGAGACCCUCUCAUAUUGUUUUAUGUUGUUUUAUACUCAGUACCUCUUUUAAGAAAAAACAAGGAAGUAAAACCAAAGACAGGCAGCCUGGUGCCAGGCCUGAAACCAGGCCUGGGCCUGUCUGGCCUAAACCCAGUAGUUAAAAAUCAACUCAUAACUUAGAAACUGAUGUUAUUCAUAGAUUCCAGACAUUGUAUAGAAGAACACUGUGAAACUCCCUGCCCUGUUCUGUUUCUCUCUGACCACCGGUGGUGCAUGCAGCCCCUGUCAUGUACCGCCUGCUUGCUCAAAUCAAUCACGACCCUUUCAUGUGAAAUCUUUAGUGUUGUGAACCCUUAAAAGGGACAGAAAUUGAGUAUUUGGGGAGCUUGGAUUUUAAGGCAGUAGCUUGCUGAUGCUCCCAGCUGAAUAAAGCCCUUCCUUCCACAA